rnacentral:rRNA from 1 species
GAACGAACGCUGGCGGCAUGCCUAAUACAUGCAAGUCGAACGAACACUUCGGUGUUAGUGGCGCACGGGUGCGUAACGCGUGGGAAUCUGCCCUUGGGUUCGGAAUAACAGUUGGAAACGACUGCUAAUACCGGAUGAUAUCGAAAGAUCAAAGAUUUAUCGCCCAGGGAUGAGCCCGCGUAGGAUUAGCUAGUUGG